GGGGAUAUAGCUCAGUUGGUAUAGUACUUGCCUCACAGACACAAUGUUCUGGGUUCAAUUCCCUGUACCACCA
rnacentral:tRNA from 1 species